rnacentral:rRNA from 1 species
GACGAACGCUGGCGGCGUGCUUAACACAUGCAAGUCGAACGAUGAAGCCGGAGCUUGCUCCGGUGGAUUAGUGGCGAACGGGUGAGUAACACGUGAGCAAUCUGCCCUUGACUCUGGGAUAACUGCGGGAAACUGUAGCUAAUACCGGAUACGACACCUUGGGGCAUCCCAGGGUGUGGAAAGAAUUUCGGUCAAGGAUGAGCUCGCGGCCUAUCAGCUAGUUGGUGAGGUAAUGGCUCACCAAGGCGACGACGGGUAGCCGGCCUGAGAGGGUGGCCGGCCACACUGGAACUGAGACACGGUCCAGACUCCUACGGGAGGCAGCAGUGGGGAAUAUUGCACAAUGGGCGCAAGCCUGAUGCAGCAACGCCGCGUGAGGGAUGACGGCCUUCGGGUUGUAAACCUCUUUUAGCAGGGAAGAAGCGAAAGUGACGGUACCUGCAGAAAAAGCACCGGCUAACUACGUGCCAGCCGCCGCAGUAA